rnacentral:rRNA from 1 species
CUACGGGAGGCAGCAGUGGGGAAUAUUGGACAAUGGGCGCAAGCCUGAUCCAGCCAUGCCGCGUGAGUGAUGACGGCCCUAGGGUUGUAAAGCUCUUUCGCCAGGGACGAUAAUGACGGUACCUGGAUAAGAAGCCCCGGCUAACUUCGUGCCAGCAGCCGCGGUAAUACGAAGGGGGCUAGCGUUGUUCGGAAUCACUGGGCGUAAAGCGCACGUAGGCGGAUCUUUAAGUCAGGGGUGAAAUCCCGGGGCUCAACCUCGGAACUGCCUUUGAUACUGGGGAUCUCGAGUUCGGGAGAGGUGAGUGGAACUGCGAGUGUAGAGGUGAAAUUCGUAGAUAUUCGCAAGAACACCAGUGGCGAAGGCGACACACUGGCUCAUUACUGACGCUGAGGCUCGAAAGCGUGGGGAGCAAACAGGAUUAGAUACCCUAGUAGUCC